rnacentral:rRNA from 1 species
UACGGAGGAUCCAAGCGUUAUCCGGAUUCAUUGGGUUUAAAGGGUGCGUAGGCGGAACGAUAAGUCAGUGGUGAAAGCCUGCAGCUUAACUGCAGAACUGCCAUUGAUACUGUCGAUCUUGAGUACAUUUGAUGAGGGCGGAAUGUGUCAUGUAGCGGUGAAAUGCUUAGAUAUGACACAGAACACCGAUUGCGAAGGCAGCUCUCAAAACUGUAACUGACGCUGAGGCACGAAAGCGUGGGGAGCAAACAGG